rnacentral:tRNA from 1 species
GGUUCUAUAGUGUAGCGGUUAUCACUCCGGAUUCUGAUUGUUCAGAUCAUUCCGGCAACCCCGGUUCGAUUCCGGGUAGGACCU